rnacentral:rRNA from 1 species
GAUGAACGCUGGCGGCGUGCCUAAUACAUGCAAGUAGAACGCUGAAGGAAGGAGCUUGCUCUUUCCGGAUGAGUUGCGAACGGGUGAGUAACGCGUAGGUAACCUGCCUGGUAGCGGGGGAUAACUAUUGGAAACGAUAGCUAAUACCGCAUAACAGUAGAUGUUGCAUGAUAUCUACUUAAAAGGUGCAAUUGCACCACUACCAGAUGGACCUGCGUUGUAUUAGCUAGUUGGUGAGGUAACGGCUCACCAAGGCGACGAUACAUAGCCGACCUGAGAGGGUGUGCGCCCGCCCUGGGACGGGACCCCGCCCCAGCCGCCUCGGGGGGGCGCCAGGAGGGAUUCUUGGGAAAGGGGGGGGGGUCUGGCCGGCAAACGCGGGGUGAGUAAAGAGGGUUUUCGGUGGUUAAACCUUUGUUGAAAGGGAAGAACGAGUGGGAGAGUGAAAAGUUCACGGUGUGACGUUAUUUAACAAGAAAGGACCGGCUAACUACGUG